CCAGUUGAGCCAGAGAUGAGUAGUAUGCUCAUCUCUGGUUGAGCAUCUCCCAGCAUCUCGCUACUUGUCUGUGGACAUAUUAACCCGUAUUCAGAAUUCGCUUUUAUUGUUAAUAACGCGCGUUGACAAUUAUGUGUUAGUGACUUUUAACUAACAGCGACUCGUUACUUACUUUAAGAGCUUGUUCUGAAUACGGGUUAUUGUGUCUUACAAGUAGUGGCAAAAGAAAUACAAGUAAAGGUUGGCUUCGUAUUAACAAACAUUUUCUGCAACCUCCACGUAAGCACAAAUAAUUUAGAGAGGUACAAAGCAAUAAAACAAUUAUAAUAACAGAUCAAAAAUAAUAAAGACGUAUUUCAUUCUCAUGAUUUAUCUACAUAGA